rnacentral:rRNA from 1 species
AGUGAACGCUGGCGGCGUGCCUAACACAUGCAAGUCGAGCGAUUCCGGGUAGCAAUACCUGGGAAUAGCGGCGAACGGGUGAGUAACACGUGCGGUAAUCUCCUCGAGUGAGGAAUAAGCCCUCGAGAGGGGGUCUAAUACCGCAUGAAACUCCGGGACUUUGUCUUCGGAGUCAAAGCCGAAAGGCGCUUGAGGAUGAGCCUGCGUCCUAUUAGCUAGUGGUAGGGUAAUGGCCUACCAAGGUUAUGAUGGGUAGCCGGCCUGAGAGGGUGUACGGCCCACUGGGACUGCGACACGGCCCAGACUCCUACGGGAGGCAGCAGUGAGGAAUUUUGCGCAUGGGGGAAACCCUGACGCAGCGACGCCGCGUGGAGGAUGACGGCCUUCGGGUUGUAAAUCCUGUCAGAGGUGAAGAAUGCCCGCAAGGGUUGACGGUAACCUCAGAGGAAGCCCCGGUAACUACGUGCCAGCAGCCGCGGUAAUACGUAGGGGGCAAGCGUUACUCGGAAUUACUGGCGUAAAGGGUGUGUAGGUGGCUGGAUAAGUCAAAGAGAAAUCCCGAGGCUCAACUUCGAAUUGNCUUUGAUACUGUUCAGCUUGAGGAUAGUUGAGGAG